rnacentral:rRNA from 1 species
UUGAACGCUGGCGGCAGGCUUAACACAUGCAAGUCGAACGGUAACAGAACUAGCUUGCUAGUUGCUGACGAGUGGCGGACGGGUGAGUAACGCGUAGGAAUCUACCAAGUAGUGGGGGACAACAGUUGGAAACGACUGCUAAUACCGCAUAAUCCCUGAGGGGCAAAGGAGGGGAUCUGUUUACAGACCUUUCGCUAUUUGAUGAGCCUGCGUGAGAUUAGCUAGUUGGUGAGGUAAUGGCUCACCAAGGCGACGAUCUCUAGCUGGUCUGAGAGGAUGACCAGCCACACUGGAACUGAGACACGGUCCAGACUCCUGCGGGAGGCAGCAGUGGGGAAUAUUGCACAAUGGAGGAAACUCUGAUGCAGCCAUGCCGCGUGUGUGAAGAAGGCUUUCGGGUUGUAAAGCACUUUCAGUGGGGAGGAAAGGGUGUAUGUUAAUAGCAUGCAUCUGUGACGUUACCCACAGAAGAAGCACCGGCUAACUCCGUGCCAGCAGCCGCGGUAAUACGGAGGGUGCGAGCGUUAAUCGGAAUUACUGGGCGUAAAGCGCGCGUAGGUGGUUAAUUAAGUCAGAUGUGAAAGCCCAGGGCUCAACCUUGGAACUGCAUUUGAAACUGGUUAACUAGAGUUUUGUAGAGGGUGGUAGAAUUUCAGGUGUAGCGGUGAAAUGCGUAGAGAUCUGAAGGAAUACCAGUGGCGAAGGCGGCCACCUGGACAAAGACUGACACUGAGGCGCGAAGGCGUGGGGAGCAAACGGGAUUAGAUACCCCGGUAGUCCACGCAGUAAACGAUGUCUAUUAGAAGUUUGUGGCUAUAUGCCGUGGGUUUCAAAGCUAACGCAUUAAAUAGACCGCCUGGGGAGUACGGCCGCAAGGUUAAAACUCAAAUGAAUUGACGGGGGCCCGCACAAGCGGUGGAGCAUGUGGUUUAAUUCGAUGCAACGCGAAGAACCUUACCAUCCCUUGACAUCCAGAGAAUCACCUAGAGAUAGAUGAGUGCCUUCGGGAACUCUGAGACAGGUGCUGCAUGGCUGUCGUCAGCUCGUGUUGUGAAAUGUUGGGUUAAGUCCCGCAACGAGCGCAACCCUUAUCCUUACUUGCCAGCGGGUUAUGCCGGGAACUUUAGGGAGACUGCCGGUGAUAAACCGGAGGAAGGUGGGGACGACGUCAAGUCAUCAUGGCCCUUACGGGAUGGGCUACACACGUGCUACAAUGGCAGAUACAAAGGGUUGCUAACCUGCGAGGGUAUGCGAAUCUCAUAAAGUCUGUCGUAGUCCGGAUCGGAGUCUGCAACUCGACUCCGUGAAGUCGGAAUCGCUAGUAAUCGUGGAUCAGAAUGCCACGGUGAAUACGUUCCCGGGUCUUGUACUCACCGC